UACGGGAGGCAGCAGUGAGGAAUAUUGGUCAAUGGGCGCGAGCCUGAACCAGCCAAGUAGCGUGCAGGACGACGGCCCUAUGGGUUGUAAACUGCUUUUAUACAGGGAUAAAGUCACCUACGUGUAGGUGUUUGUAGGUACUGUAUGAAUAAGGACCGGCUAAUUCCGUGCCAGCAGCCGCGGUAAU
rnacentral:rRNA from 1 species